UACGGGGGGGGCAAGCGUUGUUCGGAAUUACUGGGCGUAAAGGGCUUGUAGGUGGCCAACUAAGUCAGACGUGAAAUCCCUCGGCUUAACCGGGGAACUGCGUCUGAUACUGGAUGGCUUGAGUGUGGGAGAGGGAUGCGGAAUUCCAGGUGUAGCGGUGAAAUGCGUAGAUAUCUGGAGGAACACCGGUGGCGAAGGCGGCAUCCUGGACCAAUACUGACGCUGAGUGAGCGAAAGCCAGGGGAGCAAACGGG
rnacentral:rRNA from 1 species